rnacentral:rRNA from 1 species
UACGUAGGUGGCAAGCGUUAUCCGGAAUUACUGGGCGUAAAGGGCGCGUAGGCGGGAUCUUAAGUCAGGUGUGAAAACUCCGGGCUCAACCUGGAGAUUGCACUUGAAACUGAGAUUCUUGAGGACAGGAGAGGGAAGUGGAAUUCCUAGUGUAGCGGUGAAAUGCGUAGAUAUUAGGAGGAACACCAGUGGCGAAGGCGACUUCCUGGACUGCACCUGACGCUGAGGCGCGAAAGCGUGGGUAGCGAACGGGAUUAGAUACCCCUGUAGUCCCU